rfam:Alligator mississippiensis ScZkoYb_99, whole genome shotgun sequence.
UGUGACAGAGGAUACAGAAAAGGCUGGAGUGCCUUUUUUGUCUCACUCUUCACAGACAAGAUUAGCUCCAGACUACUGCACCAGGCAGUACAGUUUGGGGAGGAGAUGAGCAGC